rnacentral:rRNA from 1 species
GGGUUGUGAGGUUAAGCGACUAAGCGUACACGGUGGAUGCCCUGGCAGUCAGAGGCGAUGAAGGGCGUGCUAAUCUGCGAUAAGCGCCGGUAAGGUGAUAUGAACCGUUAUAACCGGCGAUACCCGAAUGGGGAAACCCAGUGUGAUUCGUCACACUAUCAUUAACUGAAUCCAUAGGUUAAUGAGGCGAACCGGGGGAACUGAAACAUCUAAGUACCCCGAGGAAAAGAAAUCAACCGAGAUUCCCCCAGUAGCGGCGAGCGAACGGGGAGGAGCCCAGAGCCUGAAUCAGCAUGUGUGUUAGUGGAAGCGUCUGGAAAGGCGCGCGAUACAGGGUGACAGCCCCGUACACAAAAGCGCAUGUGCUGUGAGCUCGAUGAGUAGGGCGGGACACGUGGUAUCCUGUCUGAAUAUGGGGGGACCAUCCUCCAAGGCUAAAUACUCCUGACUGACCGAUAGUGAACCAGUACCGACUCCCUUUCCGCUUUUCUUGGGGCCGCUCCCCUCACUUUUUCUUGGACUUUGGCACAUGCAUGUUCGUCACCCUCGCCCACCACCAAAGCAUUCUCUGGUGUUGAAGGCCCUGCAAAGCAGCAUCGCGGUGGCGGAGCGUCGUUUGCGACGCCCAACACACAAAACAAGCGGUGAAUGCUUUGGGGUGGGGUGACUGCGUACCUUUUGUAUAAUGGGUCAGCGACUUAUAUUCUGUAGCAAGGUUAACCGAAUAGGGGAGCCGGAGGGAAACCGAGUCUUAAUUGGGCGUUAAGUUGCAGGGUAUAGACCCGAAACCCGGUGAUCUAGCCAUGGGCAGGUUGAAGGUUGGGUAACACUAACUGGAGGACCGAACCGACUAAUGUUGAAAAAUUAGCGGAUGACCUGUGGCUGGGGGUGAAAGGCCAAUCAAACCGGGAGAUAGCUGGUUCUCCCCGAAAGCUAUUUAGGUAGCGCCUCGUGAAUUCAUCUCCGGGGGUAGAGCACUGUUUCGGCUAGGGGGCCAUCCCGGCUUACCAACCCGAUGCAAACUGCGAAUACCGGAGAAUGUUAUCACGGGAGACACACGGCGGGUGCUAACGUCCGUCGUGAAGAGGGAAACAACCCAGACCGCCAGCUAAGGUCCCAAAGUCAUGGUUAAGUGGGAAACGAUGUGGGAAGGCCCAGACAGCCAGGAUGUUGGCUUAGAAGCAGCCAUCAUUUAAAGAAAGCGUAAUAGCUCACUGGUCGAGUCGGCCUGCGCGGAAGAUGUAACGGGGCUAAACCAUGCACCGAAGCUGCGGCAGCGANUGCUGGAGGUAUCAGAAGUGCGAAUGCUGACAUAAGUAACGAUAAAGCGGGUGAAAAGCCCGCUCGCCGGAAGACCAAGGGUUCCUGUCCAACGUUAAUCGGGGCAGGGUGAGUCGACCCCUAAGGCGAGGCCGAAAGGCGUAGUCGAUGGGAAACGGGUUAAUAUUCCCGUACUUGGUGUUACUGCGAAGGGGGGACGGAGAAGGCUAUGUUGGCCGGGCGACGGUUGUCCCGGUUUAAGCGUGUAGGUGUGUGUUCCAGGUAAAUCCGGUUCACUUUAACACUGAGGCGUGACGACGAGGCACUACGGUGCUGAAGCAACAAAUGCCCUGCUUCCAGGAAAAGCCUCUAAGCAUCAGGUAACACGAAAUCGUACCCCAAACCGACACAGGUGGUCAGGUAGAGAAUACCAAGGCGCUUGAGAGAACUCGGGUGAAGGAACUAGGCAAAAUGGUGCCGUAACUUCGGGAGAAGGCACGCUGACACGUAGGUGAAGUGAUUUACUCAUGGAGCUGAAGUCAGUCGAAGAUACCAGCUGGCUGCAACUGUUUAUUAAAAACACAGCACUGUGCAAACACGAAAGUGGACGUAUACGGUGUGACGCCUGCCCGGUGCCGGAAGGUUAAUUGAUGGGGUCAGCGUAAGCGAAGCUCCUGAUCGAAGCCCCGGUAAACGGCGGCCGUAACUAUAACGGUCCUAAGGUAGCGAAAUUCCUUGUCGGGUAAGUUCCGACCUGCACGAAUGGCGUAAUGAUGGCCAGGCUGUCUCCACCCGAGACUCAGUGAAAUUGAACUCGCUGUGAAGAUGCAGUGUACCCGCGGCAAGACGGAAAGACCCCGUGAACCUUUACUAUAGCUUGACACUGAACAUUGAGCCUUGAUGUGUAGGAUAGGUGGGAGGCUUUGAAGUGUGGACGCCAGUCUGCAUGGAGCCGACCUUGAAAUACCACCCUUUAAUGUUUGAUGUUCUAACGUGGACCCGUAAUCCGGGUUGCGGACAGUGUCUGGUGGGUAGUUUGACUGGGGCGGUCUCCUCCUAAAGAGUAACGGAGGAGCACGAAGGUUGGCUAAUCCUGGUCGGACAUCAGGAGGUUAGUGCAAUGGCAUAAGCCAGCUUGACUGCGAGCGUGACGGCGCGAGCAGGUGCGAAAGCAGGUCAUAGUGAUCCGGUGGUUCUGAAUGGAAGGGCCAUCGCUCAACGGAUAAAAGGUACUCCGGGGAUAACAGGCUGAUACCGCCCAAGAGUUCAUAUCGACGGCGGUGUUUGGCACCUCGAUGUCGGCUCAUCACAUCCUGGGGCUGAAGUAGGUCCCAAGGGUAUGGCUGUUCGCCAUUUAAAGUGGUACGCGAGCUGGGUUUAGAACGUCGUGAGACAGUUCGGUCCCUAUCUGCCGUGGGCGCUGGAGAACUGAGGGGGGCUGCUCCUAGUACGAGAGGACCGGAGUGGACGCAUCACUGGUGUUCGGGUUGUCAUGCCAAUGGCACUGCCCGGUAGCUAAAUGCGGAAGAGAUAAGUGCUGAAAGCAUCUAAGCACGAAACUUGCCCCGAGAUGAGUUCUCCCUGAGACUUAGAGUCUCCUGAAGGAACGUUGAAGACGACGACGUUGAUAGGCCGGGUGUGUAAGCGCAGCGAUGCGUUGAGCUAACCGGUACUAAUGAACCGUGAGGCUUAACCUUACAACGCCGAAG